GAAAUGCGAUAAGUAAUGUGAAUAGCAGAAUGCAGUGAAUCAUCGAAUCUUUGAACGCACAUCGCGCCCGCCAGUAUUCUGGCCCGCAUGCCAGUUCAAGCGUCAUUUCAACCAUCAAGCCCCCGGGCUUGUGUUGGGGACCCUGCGGCUGCCCGCCGGCCCUGAAAUGCAGUGGCGGGCUCGCUGUCCACACCGAGCGUAGUAGCAUUACACCUCGCUCAGGGCGUGCGGCGGGCUCCGGCCGUUAAACGCGACCCUAACGCAUACCAAGGUUGACCUCGGAUCAGGUAGGAAGACCCGCUGAACUUAA
rnacentral:misc_RNA from 1 species